CUAGCAUCAACGUGAAUGUGAAGAGGACGUGCACCAUCAACAAUGACAUUAGGACGUGCGGAUUGCCACAAUAAUUACAAACAUUGAGCAGUGUAUUGCAGUCAUACACAGAUAACCUUACCUGCACUAUGUGGUCAAUUUACUUUCACAUGUACUUUAAUUGUACACAAUAAAUUACUUUCCUGUACUGCUAUUCUUUGCUCAUAAAAUGCAGUGCAAAUGAUUUAUUGGCUUUUUAC